CAGAUCUGCAAAGAGGAGGAGAGUGCUUUGUCUAGAGAUCGCGGAGUGCAGGUGGGUGGGAUAGAGACCGGUGGCUUCGGGUAGGAGAGAGGGCGGCCGCUUUGUGAGGGUGACGAGGUCGGCUUGUGUCAGGGUUAGAGCUGUGGGUUUCCUCGUGGUGUUGCACUCUCCUGCUUAGCUCGGGUAGGAGAGGCGGUACCAGUUGCCGGGUGGCGGGUGCUACCGUGACUACGGGGGUUAAGGGGUACGGUUGCGCACGCUCCGCGCGGUAACCUAGCUACUGCGCGCACGAUAUACGCACACGCGUACGCGGACUCCCGCGGCACGUCCUCGAGGGGGAAGAGGAGGGAAAAGGAGAGAGGGGGACGCGUGUCACCUCGAACUCGACCCGCCCUGUGACUCGUCCUCAAAAACCCCCGUCUCCUUCUUCUGCAAGUUCAUCUUCCGCACCUGCAACCCCUCAUCGAUGCACCUUCCUCCCGCACUUGCCACCCUACCCGCGACCGACCGACCACUCACGCAGUUCCAAAGAGAUUACAACAAUUAAAACAACGAGACGGAACUAUAUGAUGAUAAACUCGUAUAUGGUUUUUCCCAAAGGGGGCGAAACAAAAGGUUUGGUUGGUUGUGGCUCAUGUCUCUAGCGACACCGCUCGUCGUGUUGUGUGGUUUUCUUUGUUUACGGUUGGUGCCGUCGAGCCGUUUCGCGCCUACUGGGCGGUGGCGCCGCGGGUGGCCUAUGUCUGGUGGUGUCUGGCUCCGAAACUUGGUGGCGCAUGGUUCGUCGUGGAGGUUCUUCCCUACACUGUGGCUGCUGCGACGACGGGUCUGCUAAGGAUCCCAAAGGGGGCCGUGCGCCUUCCUCCACCCCCUACCUAUGGUGGCUGUGAGAGGUCCUUCCUUACCACCGUGGGCGUCCACAGUGGCGCAGCCCCGGCUUCGGCCGUCCCUAAAGAGGGAGUUAGGUUGGGGUUGGCGGGUUGAUCUGCCUUGGCUGGGCGAUUUGGCAGCGUAUGGUGGUACGCGGUUGCGUCAUCGCGGAGGUGGGUACGGCGGAGUGAUGCUUGUGGUGGUGCACCGGUUCUCCUGGCCUCUCUUCGCGCGGUGCUACCCUCGUCGUUGUGGUUGCGGCUCGCCCUCCCUUAGUGGAGGUGGCGGCAGCACGCCCUCCGGGCACGGAGGCCGUGGCAGCGCCAUCGGCAGGCCUGCGCCGGCACCCCGUACGACCCGGUGGGGACCGGGUCGGUCCGGGCUGCGCCCGGGCAAUUCGGGGUGGCCGGUGCUACGUCGUCCGGCUGCAGCCGCGGCGGCCGUGGGUCGGCGAGCAGCGAAGAGGGGGCGGAGGGUCUUCGGUGCGGCCUCUGGUAGGGGCGGCGGCCGGGCGGAUCCGGGUCUAUCCCGGGCUUCCCGGGUCUAGACCCGGCUCGCCUGCUGCGGUCUAGGGCGGCGGCACGGCGGGGCGGCGGUUGCCGCCGCGGCGGCGGGUCGACGAGCGGACGUGUGCGGUACCUUGGGGCGGCGGUGCGGUCUGGCGGCAGCGGAUUCACGUGGGGGGCCUCGUCGAGGCGGGCGCGGUUUCUCGAUGGCCCUCCCCUUCCCGUUCCUCCGGCGGCGGUGGUCGUCGUGGCCCCGGUUCGGCCGGCGCCCGCGGCCGCUGCCGCCGCCCUUCCCUCCUCCCUCCCCCCUGGACCUCCCUCCUCUGGCCAGCGCGCCGGCCAGCGGGUGCCCGCUGCGCCAGCGAUCUCUCUCCUAUAGGGAUAAACUCGUAUAUAUUUCUCUAGUAUCUCCUUUCGUCGUCAUCCGACGACGCCAAAACAAGUACCACGAUGACCAAAACAAUUACAACCAUAAACGAAUGACAAAUGCUGACGACGAUGAUACAUGAGUGAAAUACUAUACUUCUAUACAUACGACAACCACUUUUCCCUAGCCACGAUAUCGCCAUCCGCAGACCACCGAUACGUCACCGUAGGCGAUGAAUCUAUGCAUCGGCCGUUGCCACUCUUCUGAAACUAGAACUAUAUAAUCUACAUUCGGAGUAUGUGGUAUCCUCCAGGAGGAAAACCACUAUAGCCGACCACUCGAAAGAGGUAGAAGUGGGAGAUUGUGUGUAACCAAGACGUAAUACAUAUACACCGAAACUAUUCUUUCCUUACAAAGAUAGACUUAUAAUGGGUCAAUACGAAAGAAACAGAUUUAGCUAAAUCAUCUUCUCUAUCUCUCUUCGUUAAAUGACCACACCAAGUAAACCCUUUAAAUCAUGAAACAAUAUGACGAAACAAAAUCCCCUACUUCAUUUAUCUUGUUCUAUAAGGACCCUACCUAGAUAUACACGAGCAAUACUACAGUACAUUUAAGGUGUUGUGUAAACAUACGCACAUAGGAAGAAUAUCAAUAUCAGUACGAACUGUCGGACGUCCGACUCCGAUUGUUAAGAAAAGCAGAGAUAAGGGGAAUAAAGUCACGUAACACGAUGACAUAUGAUGACAAUGUUACUGUACACGUAAAUCAUUUUAGGGAAUUAAUACCGUCGUACAUUUUUUAUUUACAAAGGACUCACGCCUGACACCAUAUCUAAGCACGUUCAAGACUUUGGACGUUCAUGGCUUAAUGUAUUAUUAAAACAUCCUACUAUUUUUUCUUCUUCCACUACUAAGUCAAUAGUUCUCCUACACACUUGAGACUUGGACUUCCUGUCCUUUAUUUUGUACUCCUCCAUUACCUCCUCUUCUUCUUCGUCUGUAAUCCUAUUAUUACUUUCUCUUACUCAUCUAUUAUUCUUACCAUAACUUUCUCUUCUGCUCUACGUGGAACCGAUUCAUUUCUCGAUCUGGACUUUAACGGUUAUUUCCCUUACUCCAGGAAAAGAGAUAACCACGGUAGAAUCGACGGCUGACGGCAGCCAAUCCACGUAUAAAGUACUCUAUUAGAGCAAGAUUGUACAGAGACUAAAACUAAAAAAAGACGCCUAAAGUCUUAUAUCUUCCGUCGAAGCGUCUCCCCAGUGACUGCUCAUUCACUUUAUUCAGGAGCUCGUCCAAAGUCACUUCUGAUGACUAGAUCUUCACGGCAUACAAGUACUUGUUAAAAGACGACGACUUUAUUCAGGUCUCGUCCGAAGUCACUCCUGAUGACUAGAUCUUCGACAUACAAGUACUUGUUAAAAGAUAACGAGACUGACUUGCCUAACAGAGACAUUAAGAACAUACAAACCCACCACGGGUCGAUGGUUAUCUUCUGUUCGGCAGAAGAACGACUUGUUGCGGUGUUAACAUAUCAACAUACAAUAAAUCCUAACAGAGACAACGUAUGCUGGACCCCAAUGUUCUCCAGGCCAUGAUUAAAACACAUACAUAGAGAAGAUAUAUGUGUACUAAAGUUUCGUAUAAAAUAUCAUGUAAAACAAAGAAACGAACCAUUUUUUACAUAACGUUCACAACAAGUA
rnacentral:rRNA from 1 species